AUGUGUGAUCACUAUGUUGUGGAAUCAAGGGAUCACCUCUUCUUCCAUUGCCCAUUUGCUCAAAUCUGUUGGAAGAAUAUCUGCCCCAGUUGGACAGCCUUGUCAGCUGGGAUUCAAGAUCAAAUUGGCAAUCCCAGGCAUCUGCUGAAUCUGCCCUUUGCUACGGACAUAAUCAUUCUAGUUGCUUGGGCCAUUUGGAAUACUAGGAAUGCUUACAUUUUUAGGGCUGUUCCUCCAAGUUUUUAUGCUUAUAGAAAACACUUCGAGGAGGAAUUGCAACGGCUGGUGCUCAGGGCCAAAGAGGAAAUCAUAUGGGUCACUUCCAGACUGGGUCCAGAACUUCAGAUAGGCAUCAUUCUUUCUCUUGCUUCCUUCAGUUAUAUAUAUGUUGUUAUAUCUGCUUACAGUUUUAGCUUCUAG
rnacentral:rRNA from 1 species